UACGUAGGGGGGCAAGCGUUUGUCCGGAAUCAUUGGGCGUAAAGAGCGUGUAGGCGGCCCGAUUAGUCCGCUGUGAAAGUCCAGGGCUCAACCCUGGAAUGCCGGUGGAUACUGUCGGGCUAGAAUCCGGAAGAGGCGAGUGGAAUUCCUGGUGUAGCGGUGAAAUGCGCAGAUAUCAGGAGGAACACCGAUGGCGAAGGCAGGUCUCUGGGCAUUAACUGACGCUGAGGAGCGAAAGCAUGGGGAGCGAACAGG
rnacentral:rRNA from 1 species